rnacentral:rRNA from 1 species
AGUUCGGAUCGCAGUCUGCAACUCGACUGCGUGAAGGUGGAGUCGCUAGUAAUCGCGGAUCAGCAACGCCGCGGUGAGUGCGUUCCCGGGCCUUGUACACACCGCCCGUCAAGUCAUGAAAGUGGGCAGCACCCGAAGACGGUGGCCUAACCCUUGUGGGGGGAGCCGUCUAAGGUGAGGCUCGUGAUUGGGACUAAGUCGUAACAAGGUACC